rnacentral:rRNA from 1 species
AACGAACGCUGGCGGCAUGCCUAACACAUGCAAGUCGAACGAUAGCACCGGGGGUACUUGCGCUCGGGUGCGUCGCGCGUGGGAACGGGCCCUUAGGCACGGAAUACCACAGUGACGUUUGAGCUAAUGCCGGAUAACGUCUUCUAACACAAGAUAGAUCGUCCUUGGAUGGGCAGGGGUUGGUUUAACUUGGUGGUGGGGUAAGGGCCUACCACGGCGUGGAUCCAUAGCUGGUCUGAGAGGAUGAGCAGCCACACUUGGGCUGGGACACGGUCCAGACUCUUACGGGAGGCAGGAGUGGGGGAUAUUGGAAAAUGGGCGAAAUCCUGAUCCAGCAAUGCCGGGUGAGUGAUGAAGGCCGUAGGGUAGUAAAGCUCUUUUACCCGGCAUGAUAAUGACAGUACCGGGAGAAUAAGCCCCGGCUAACUCCGUG